rnacentral:rRNA from 1 species
UCGAGAAUUUUUCUCAAUGGGCGAAAGCCUGAAGGAGCGACGCCGCGUGGAGGAUGAAGGCUUUCGGGUUGUAAACUCCUGUCAUUUGAGAACAAGUUGGACGCAGUAACUACGCGUCCAUUGAUAGUAUCAGAAGAGGAAGGGACGGCUAACUCUGUGCCAGCAGCCGCGGUAAUACAGAGGUCCCAAGCGUUGUUCGGAUUCAUUGGGCGUAAAGGGUGCGUAGGUGGCGCCGUAAGUGGGGUGUGAAAUUUCGGAGCUUAACUCCGAAACUGCAUUCCAUACUGCGGUGCUUGAGGACUGGAGAGGAGACUGGAAUUUACGGUGUAGCAGUGAAAUGCGUAGAGAUCGUAAGGAAGACCAGUGGCGAAGGCGGGUCUCUGGACAGUUCCUGACACUGAGGCACGAAGGCCAGGGGAGCAAACGG